UGCAUUCAUUACUGUAAGUCGCUCUGGAUAAGAGCGUCUACUAAAAUGACUAAAA
rfam:Salmo salar isolate Sally breed double haploid chromosome ssa01, whole genome shotgun sequence.